rnacentral:rRNA from 1 species
UUCGCAAUGCCCGAAAGGGUGACGAAGCGACGCCGCGUGUGGGAAGAAGGCCUUCGGGUUGUAAACCACUGUCGGGAGUCAAGAAAUGUAAGGGUGUUAAUAGCGCCUUUACUUGACAAAGGCUCCGGAGGAAGCCACGGCUAACUCUGUGCCAGCAGCCGCGGUAAUACAGAGGCGGCAAGCGUUGUUCGGAAUUAUUGGGCGUAAAGAGCACGUAGGCGGCUUUGCAAGUCAGUUGUGAAAGCCUUCCGCUUAACGGAAGAACAGCAGCUGAUACUACAGAGCUUGAGUACGGGAGGGGAGAGUGGAACUUCUGGUGGAGCGGUGAAAUGCGUAGAUAUCAGAAGGAACGCCGGCGGCGAAAGCGAUUCUCUGGUCCGAAACUGACGCUGAGUGUGCGAAAGCUAGGGGAUCAAACGGGAUUAGAUAUCCCGGUAGUCCUAGCCGUAAACGAUGGGCACUAAGUAGAGGGGUUUU